rnacentral:rRNA from 1 species
UACGUAGGGUGCAAGCGUUGUCCGGAAUUAUUGGGCGUAAAGAGCUCGUAGGCGGUUUGUCGCGUCUGCUGUGAAAACCCGAGGCUCAACCUCGGGCCUGCAGUGGGUACGGGCAGACUAGAGUGCGGUAGGGGAGAUUGGAAUUCCUGGUGUAGCGGUGGAAUGCGCAGAUAUCAGGAGGAACACCAAUGGCGAAGGCAGAUCUCUGGGCCGUAACUGACGCUGAGGAGCGAAAGCAUGGGGCGCGAACAGG